rnacentral:rRNA from 1 species
GCGUUAAUCGGAAUUACUGGGCGUAAGCGUGCGCAGGCGGUUCUCCAAGUCCGUUGUGAAAGCCCCGGGCUCAACCUGGGAAUGGCAGUGGAAACUAGGGAACUUGAAUCGGCAGAGGGGGGUGGAAUUCCACGUGUAGCAGUGAAAUGCGUAGAGAUGUGGAGGAACACCGAUGGCGAAGGCAGCCCCCUGGGCUGAGAUUGACGCUCAGGCACGAAAGCGUGGGGAGCAAACAGGAUUAGAUACCCUGGUAGUCCACGCCCUAAACGAUGUCAACUAGGUGUUGGAGCGAUCAGUACCGCAGCUAACGCGUGAAGUUGACCGCCUGGGGAGUACGGUCGCAAGAUUAAAACUCAAAGGAAUUGACGGGGACCCGCACAAGCGGUGGAUGAUGUGGAUUAAUUCGAUGCAACGCGAAUAACCUUACCUACCCUUGACAUGUACGGAAGCCUCCGAUGGGGGUGUGCCCGAAAGGGAGCAACACAGGUGCUGCAUGGCUGUCGUCAGCUCGUGUCG